GCAGAAACAAAGAUAGGAAUGUAUGUACCUGAGGAAGAGGUAAUGCUGCAACAAGAUCUAUGAAGAAAUCUGAUCUCAAAUAUCUCCUUGUGAUCAACUUAGGAUCCAUAACAAGUUCACCUCUCCCAAAAACUCUUGAACUAGGUGAGACAUAAGCUGUCCUAAACUUUAUUAGAAUAUGAACUAUGUAAAAUAGAUCAGCAAAUGUUCUAAAACAUGUUACAGUAAUUCCUAAAUUCUAAUCAGUAUCCAUACAAGAUGACUUUUCCUUGUUGCUUGCUGAUGGAAGGUAAAAGAACAAUCGAUCAACAAAGAGUGCUGUCAAUCAUGAGAAGAGGAAAAUCCUGUUCCAAUUCAAUAUAACAUCACUUCCUGGAUCAAGAAUUUUCUCUCUCCAAAUGAUUAUUCUCUGGAAACACCUUAAACCUUCAUAAUUUAGGAGCCUUGUUACUUGUGCUUCUGUCACUAUUAAUACCACCUCCUUCAGUUUUAAACAAUGGAGCUGAUGUUUUAUGUACAGGCAAUGUCUUCUCCAGGUUUUGUCUACCAUUAAACCUGUAAAUUUUGAGAACACCAUUUAACCAAAUCAUCAAAGAAAGUAUAUGGGAAUCAUAAAAGAGAGGAAAUACAGGCAAACAGACUAACCUUACCAGCUUCUCUUUCUUGAACUCCAUGGCAUUAGGUAAUCCUAUAACAUACUAUGCAUCCAAGAAAGGGAUACGGAAGAGGAUUUUGUCUUCAAAAAGUUUCACUGAAUUUUUCAUUUCUGAUUUGAAAGUAAAUCUUUCUUUCAAGAAAUGGACCUUGAGUUCCAAGUUGAAUAAAAUAAAAGAAGAUUUUGCAGAAAGAGGAAAAGAGAGGCUUUCGGUGGUGAAAAGGCAAAGUGGGGUGUUCAGUAUGGUUGACUUCCAUAAGCCCAACAGAAAACUAACAGUGAAUGGAAAAAAAAAAAACACAGCUCAGAUAUUCAUUUGCUUUCUUCUUUUAUUUAUACUGUAUAUUGAUUAUUCUCUAAUAUCCUCGUACCAACUUUUAUAUUGAAGUUAAUCUUUCUCUGAUAAGAUCUUGAACAUUAUCAUUCACAUUUGAAUUAUUGUAUUCAUGAAAAAUUUCAUUUUCGUAUGUUUUUGGAUUGGAACUAUGAAGAAUAACAUAGAGAGUAAACCUGCAGGCUAGACAUCCAAAAAUUCAGGUACCUUUAUAUAUGAUUUAUCGCAAUAACUUGUAAGAAAAUGGACCUGAAUUUUAGAGAGAUAGGGGACAUGAAUAGCAUGACAAAAAAAAAUUGAACAAACAGUACGUGUGUAUCAGAGACCAAGAAGUUUUAUUAGCAGAUCUCUCGGGCAAAAUAUAUUCGGUUUUGUGUUUCUUUUUUAUGUAUAGUUUUUGUACUAGUGUCAUUGUUCAGAUGUUGACAAGAUUGAACUAAAAAUUAACUUACAAGUUGAGGAAAAAUUACAUAACAUUUGCCACAUGAAUUUGCGGCAUGGAGAAAUUUACAUCACCUUUUCACCUUAACCAACUUCACUUAACCUGGUCCUUGCAUCUGCAACAAAACCUCUGUCUCUCAUUUCUCCAAUAAGUUGCACUGCCCUUGAUUCAUCCUUGUGCUGGAGAAAUCCUCGAAUAAUAACACGAUAACAAAUUUCAUCUGGAGGGCAGCCAUCCUCUUCCAUAUUUCGGAAAGCUUCCAAUGCUUCAUCUAACAAUCCUUCUUUACAAAGUCCAAAUAUUAUAGUAGUGUAUAUCUGAACAUUAGGCUGCAACCCUUGGACAAAGAGUUCUGAAAACAGUUUCCUUGCAUCUUUAAGAUUCCCAGAUUUGCACAUGGCAUGAACCAGGAUGGUAUACAUCACCGGAUUAGGCUUCAAGUGAGUACUUUGCAUUGCUCGAAACAGUCUGAAUGCCUUACCAAGAUACCCUUGUUUGCAAAAGCCAUCAAGCAAUAUUGAGUAAGUACGUAAAUUUGGGAGGUUUCCAUUAGUGCGCAUAUUCCUAAAAAGAUCUUGUGCUUCCCUAACUCUGCCUAAUUGGCACAAGCCAUGAAUAAGAGUGUUGUAAGUAACUUUGUUCGGAGUUAAGCCUUGAUGAAUCAUUUCAUUAAAAAGCUGCUUGGCUUCAUCUAUCCUUUUGGCCUUGCAAUAUCCGUUAAUUAAGAUGUUAUAGCUAAAAACAACAGGUUUAAAACCCUUGGUUAUCAUGACAUCAAAAAGCUUUCUAGCUUCAACAACUUGUGUACACGAGGAAUAUCCAUACAUCAACGAAUUGUAAGUAACAACGUUAGGCUCCACACCCAUUUCAGUCAUUGUUUUUAACACACCUAGAGCCUCUAAAACCUUGCCUUCUUUACAAAAAGUAUCAACUAGCACGUUGAAGGUGACAAUAUCUGGCAUGAUAUUCAAACUCGUCAUUUCAUUUAGCAAUGCCGAAGCCUCCUUCCAUCGGCUGAAAUUGCAUAAGCCCUGGAUCAAAGAGGUGUAAGUGAAAAUAUCUGGGGAAAUGCCUUUAGCCUUCAUGUAAGAGAAGAUAUCUAAAGCCUCAUUCACCAGCCUAUCUUUGCAAAGACUGUCAAUGAGUGUGCUGUAUGUCACCACGUCCGGCUGGCAGCCUGCCUCUUCCAUUUUCUUAAACAAUCCAGCAGCCUCAGCAGCUUCCCCAGUCUUACAUAAGCCAUUGAUAAUCGUAGUAUAAGUGUAGACAUUAGGUUGACACCCUCUUGCCACCAUGUCAUCAAAUAAUUCCACGGCUUGGGCAAAUUCACCCACUUUACAGAGCCCAUUGAUUAAGGUGUUAAAUGUGACAAUAGUGGGUUGAAGACCAAGUUUAAUGACUUUGGCCAAGACAGAGAACCCAAGAUCAACACGUUGCAACUGGCAGAAGCAAUUCAUCAAGAUAUGAAGGGUAUAAGUAUUAGAAGAGAGCCCAGCUAAACCCAUUUGUUUGGAAAGAGAAAUCACAACAUCGUAAUACUGUCCCAUUUUGACAAUUGCAGACAAUAAUUUGGUGAAUUGGAUAAUACAUGGCAGGGGUUUCCUAUGAAUCAUGUGAUUAAAAGAAGCAAGGGCAUCAUCAAUGUUUCUAAACGAAGAAGAAGAAGCAUCAUUUUUGUGUUUGUAUCUACUGCUACUACUACCGCUACUGCUCCUGCUAGAAGAAGAAAUGGAGUUGGAGUGUUUGCUAGACAAAAGUGAUGGAAGAAUCAUACCCGUUAUUUUCAUUAGGCAUCGCUGAACUUGGGACCCAAUGAAAAAGGCUUCUGAAGCUCCUCGUCUCACUGCCGCCGCCGCCACCAUCAUCAGCCUUCCUCUGUGUUAUUCCUUCUCCUCGUGGUCUUGUUUCUUUAUUGACCAAAACGACAGAGACACUUUGUACAAAUCUGGAAGAUUGAAGAAAGUGAUUUGGGGAAGCAGGACCGUCUCUCUCACAUACACAAGGAAUGCAAGGUUUCUCUUUUGUGAUUACUGUUUAAACAGUUAAUUAUUUUUCUUUUUCUCUUUUUUUUCAAAUUUGUUCUUGACAUUGCAUUUAAUUGGAAUGAUUUGUCUGAUUUUGCUUUUUAUAGUGAUAUAAUGAUGUCAAGAUAAUAUCAUUUGAUUUUAUAUAAAAAAAAUAGUUUAAAUGCUAGCAAGAAAUAUUUUUUGGGGAACAAGGGCAAAAUUAUUUUUAGUUUUUUUAGUUUAAUAAGUUAAUAUUUUAUCCCAAACUUCAUUUUUAAUAUAUUCUAGUCCUUAAAAUUAAGAGAAAAAAGAAAAAAUUUACUAGAUUACAUGUUCAUAUAAAAAAAAUUAUUACAUUGAUUACAGUAACUAAAAAAGUUAAAUUAAUCUUAUUAUAAACAAUUUUUUUUGAUAAAAGAAAAUCCACUAAGUUUUUUUAAUUCUUAUAUUACCCGAAAAAAUAAAAUAAAGUUGGAGAAGUUUUUUUAAUUAUUUUUUGUUUUUAAACUAAUUUUUUAGAUGGUUUUAGACAAUAAAUCAUUUUAUUUAGAUUUAUAAAGUGUUUUAGAUGUGUUUUUAUAUUUAAAAUAAUUUAAAAUAUUUUUUUGAUAUUUUUUUAUAAUUUUCAUACGAAACAUGAAAAUUAUCAAAAUUAUCUAAAUAAUAAAAAAUCCUACUUAGUAUAUAAAAAUAUUAAAAUUAUCUUAAAAUAUAUAUAAAAAAUACAUAAUUUAAAUAUAUUUAAAAAAAUACUUUUAAACAUAAUGCAAUUGCUAUGGUAGCAUAUAUUGUAAUAACAAUUAUUUUUUAAAGUAUUUUUUUAUGUAAAAAUAUAUUUAAAUAAUAUUAUUUUAUUUUUUAAAAUUUAUUUUUAAUAUUAACAUAUCAAAAUAAAUUAAAAAAAUAUUUUAAAAUAAAAAAAAAUAUUUUUUUUACAAAAUCUUGCUGAAACUAGUCUGUUUGCUCAUCAACAGAAACUGAGAAGGACUCUGACAUGCUCAGGCUCUUUGCCAUCAUCCUCUUCUUGUGUCGACGCCAAGCAGCCCGAAUAAAACAGGCAGCCCAGCUUCUCCAAUGGUAAGAGUAGAAACGGAAGGUAUGCUGUCGUUUCUUGCUAUGGAGACGUCUAAACUGAUUGGCAACGAACUUGAGGUCUUCUGCUCGCAAUGCAAAUGCUUCCACUUCUUCUAGUGCUCUCCCUGUCCUUGUGGAAGAAGGUAAGUUGAGAGUAGAUUUUGGAAGCAAUGCCCAAGCAAGCAGCUCUUCACCGCAAAAGUCACCAGGUCUCAAAGUAAUUGACAUGAAGAAACCUGUUCGCCCUCCAUUUGGAGUUGAGCUCUCUUGCUUUACCCUGAUAAUAAAAAGCAUCUCCGUAACCGGAUCUCCUUCUCCAACUAUAUAUAGUUUCCUUGAGCACUCAAACAGGACUCUAAGCGCCCACAUAUGGGAUCAAGUAGCUUAUCAUCCAUCUGCGAGAAAAAAAGGAACCUGCAAAUAGGAAAAACAUUAGCUAGAGUUGCAUGACAGAAGAAGAUAGAUUUUAAAAUGCUUGAUCGUGAGUGUUUUACUUGUCUAACAAGCUCCAGGCAUAGGUGACGCUGGAUGUCUCGACAAAGAUCUGUACGGAGGUAUGAACGCAAGAUUGAUUCCUCAUCAACCCCACUAGUUGCAAGCCACUUGUAUUGAACAAAUCUUCUGACAAGUUCUCGCAAACUGUAGGGGAGUUGAAGAUGUGUCAUCCACUCUUUUGUUUCUCAUCGCUUGAGCCUCCACUCCCCAAGCCUCAUAGUGAUAGAUUACAAGCAUGUCUCUUCAAGAGAGAGCAUGUUAAACACUGCAGAGUUCUAGAAUUCAGAAGAAAUUUAUCAUGGAAACUGUAACGGAACGAAAUCUUAUAAAGCAAUUUUACAUUUCAAAUGAUUACAUUAUUGUAAAAUACACUGAAUUUGUUUUUUGAAAAAAAAAUCAGCAGUUUCCCUACACAAAAAGAGUACACCACGAUUAUGAUCACCUUUAAAGUUAAACUCAUGUCUAUCUCUGGUUAUGCUGGAGGGAUUCAUCAAUCUUUAAGUAAUGGCAAUUAAGAAAUCCCACGAUAGAUAAUAACCUUCACAGGAAAGAAAAAGCUCUAUUCAAUGUUGUUUUCCUGCUGUAUGUUUUAUGGAUAAGGUGUCUAUAACCUCCCAUAGCAGGAGUUAGGUUUAAAUCAAAUGGAGACCGAUGGUUCAGGGUUGCAAUACUUAAAAUCUUAUUAAUAAAUUUAGAGUUUAACUCAGAUCUUUGUGUGUUACAGAACAUUAAAUAUAUAGAAUUGUAACACUUGAAAUUUUAUUAAUAAACUCAAGGUUUAACUCAGAUCAUUAUGUUGCAGAACGCCAAAUACCUUUAUCUUCUUCAACAAGGCUAGUUUCACCUUUUGGUUAUCGUGGUAAAAUAGUACUUUUCAUGUUGCCCACUUUAUUAAAUAUUCUAAACAGCUACCCCGCUUAAAGUUCUUUCCUCUUAACAUCCUAUGGAAGCAUGGGAGCUGGGAGUAUAGAGGAGAAUUAUGGCUGGUGGCGAGGAGUAGUUCAAGCACUGUCCUUACAAUGAACUUGAAGCUCGAUGCUGCUCCUCCCAAUGAAUUAGUUUUGAUUGCUAAAAAUCAAAUGAAAUGGACAAUAAUAAGGCGAACAUAGAGACAACGUCAGCUUGAUAGAGAGGUUGUACUGCAGAAUGUCUCAACUUGCCAGGAAGAUUCAUCCACUUCAUUCCCAAAUGUAAGGCUGCUGUCUGCAUCUUACAUGAGCUCUCAAUCCUUUCGUCUAUCUCAUGAAAUCAAUACAGGGAGAGGUUGCGGUCUGUUUCUUCUCGUGAACAUAUUCCUUUAUCCAAAAUACAAGAGGGACGAUAAAGAUAGGGAGAGAGUAUGAUUUAAUCAAAGGAUUUUCUGCCUAUUUUCAUCGCUUCUUUUGCAGCGCAAUUCAAGCGGAGAGUUUAUUUUUAGCCUUGUUUGAUGACAACUACGAAGUCCAAUGAAGCUCAGUUCAUUGAUAACGUCAACGUCUGUUUUCAUCUUCAUCAUCCUGGAAAUUAGAGUUUUGCUCCUCCCUUGUACAGCGGUGCCAUGGUGCUAUAAUAUGACCAGACAGAUGAAGGAUUCGAACGCCCACAUUGUUCAAUCUGGACUGUCGUUUAAAAGUGAUGGUAUAGCUAAAUUAUUGUAUCCCAUUGAUCUAUCCGCAAUAAAUUUAGCAAGAGUUAUGAGUUCAUCCAAAAAAAUAGAUAAUAAAUCAAACUUGUCUUGAAGGAUAUAAACAAAAAAAAUCUACAAUCAAAUUUCACCUUGUGUCAUUUUUUUAUUUUAUUUUUUAAGAAUAAAAUAAAUAACAUGGAAAAUAAAUAAACCUUAGUAUUCUUUGAGAUAUAGAAUUUUCUUCAAGAAAAGCACUUCAAGCAAAUAAGUUCUCUCAAAAGCUAUCAAUCCUCUUUCAUCUACACUUAGAAUUUAUAAAAAACAAAACUCUAUUGGAUUAAGUCUAAACGUCCCAUAAGAAUUCUUCGACAACAUUUAAAAGACAAAUCAAAUGUCCUCUUUCAAAGCAUCAAAUCACCAAAUCUCACUUUGCAAUACACACUCAAAUUUGCGUUCUUGUAAAGUACAAAUCUUGACUUAUUUUCACAAAUAAAUCAAGUCACCACAUAUCAAAUCCAAGGAAAGAAUAAAAGGAUUAUUUAUUCUUUUUGUAAGAAUAUUUUAAAUAAAAAUUGUACCAAAUCAUAUAUUUUAAUAAAAUGAAAUAUUUGUACGUAUAUGCUUAUCUAAUUUUGGAUGAUCGAAAUUGUGUCUCCCAACAUUUGUGGUGAAUUUCAAUGAAGUCAUACCUCAAGCUCUGCAAGCCACACCAUAAAACAUAUAAGUACUUUUCAAGAAACUCAGAGGAAAGUACUUUCUGCUGCAAUGCAUUUGUGAAUAUGCCAUAAUCGAAAAAGGAAGUGUCAUCCGGAUUACAUCUGGCAAACAAAACAGUAGUGUAUUCCCAGGACUUGCGAUCAGGAAAUUCCAAAGUAUCGCAAUCCAAGUAACGGGGGUUGCAUGGUAUAGGGCUCAAUUCAUGUUUGCAAGCAGAUUUCCAGCAUGUUCAAUGAUGCUCGAUCGACAACAAAUACCAUGAUGCCCCCAGGACCUACAAGAUCAGAGGCCUAAACAGUAUAAAACAGCACUAAAUGACCAACAACAACAACAACAAUAGCAUUUUGAGAGAACAGCAAGUAGUAUCACCUAAAACGACACGUAUUUUCCCAUCCAAGGAGGCAUUGCUCACAUGACUAGCCAGCAUGUAUAGCAGGAGAUUAUAUGAAGCUCCAGCCAUGCGGUCUUUGUGACUACUCCAGUGGCCUUAAUGAUCUCAGAACUUAAUGGAAAAAUCAAAUAUAAUCUGGGAAUAUGGAGCAGAACAGUCAGCACUGGGGCAUUGUUGGUAUGAUCAGCAUGUGAGCUUCUAAUUACUGGUAUAACAAACCAUAUCAGUCUACCAAAAACAUAAUUGCAUAUUUUUAGUCACAAAGUUAAGACUCAAACUCGAGACCUUAUCCCCCGCUUUGAGGAGGUGAAUGCCACUGGGUGAAACGCGGAUUUGUAACUUCAGCUCAACCUCAAGAAGUGAAAGAAAUUCCUGGAAUUUUUGAGGCAAAAGGGAAGCUGAAAACUGCAGUAGCAACUUCAACCUCAUCAACUAAAUGAAAAUUUCAAGUUCGUUCUCAUUUUUUACAAGUAGCUGUGAUUUCUAUUCAAAAAAUGAAAAACAAAAAUUGAAAUCACAGGCUAAAAUUCUACAUUCAAAUCAAAUAAACAGAAGCAGAAACAAAGAUAGGAAUGUAUGUACCUGAGGAAGAGGUAAUGCUGCAACAAGAUCUAUGAAGAAAUCUGAUCUCAAAUAUCUCCUUCCGAUCAACUUAGGAUCCAUAACAAGUUCACCUCUCCCAAAAACUCUUGAACUAGGUGAGUCAUAAGCUGUCCUAAACUUUAUUACAAUAUGAUCUAUGUAAAAUACAUCAGCAAAUGUUCUAAAACAUGUCACAGUAAUUCCUAAAUUCAAAUCAGUAUCCAUACAAGAUGACUUUUCCUUGUUGCUUGCUGAUGAAAGGAAAAAAAAACAAUGGAUCAACAAAGAGUGCUGUCAAGCAUGAGAAGAGGAAAAUCCUGUUCCAUUUCAAGAUAACAUCACUUCCUGGAUCAAGAAUUCUCUCUCUCCAAUAUGGCUCAUGAUGAUUCUCUGGAAAUACCAUAAACCUUCCAAAUCUAGGAACCUUGUUACUUGUGUUUCUGUCACUAUUAAUACCACCUCCUUAGUUUUAAGCAAUGGCUCUGAUGUUUUAUGUACAGGCAAUGUCUUCUCCAGGUUUUGACUAGCAUUAAAGCUGUAAAUUUUGAGAACACCCUUUAACCAAAUCAUCAAAGAAAGCAAAUGUGAAUCAUAAAAGAGAGAAAAUACAAGCAAAGAGACUAACCUUACUAGCUUCUCUUUCUUGAACUCCAUGACUGUAAGUAAUCCUAUAAUAUACUAUGUAUCCAAGAAAGGGAUACAAAAGAGGAUUGUCUUCAAAAAGUUUCACUGAAUUUUUCAUUUCUGAUUUGAAAGUAAAUCUUUCUUUCAAGAAAUGGACCUUGAGUUCCAAGCUGAAUAAAAUGAAAGGAGAUUUUGCAGAAAGAGGAAAAGAGAGGCUUUAGGUGGUGAAAAGGCAAAGUGAGGUGUUCAAUGUGGUUGACUUCCAUUAAAAGCCCAACAGAAAACUAAUAGUGAAAGAAAAAAAUAAACACAGCUCAGAUAUUCAUUUGCUUUCUUCUUUAAUUUAUUCUUUAUAAUGAUUAUUCUAUGUCAAAAAACCAAGUUAAGGUGAGGUUUUUACUAUACAAUUUAUAUUUACAUUUACAGGAUUUUGAAUAUAUGAUAGUUUGGUCACUUAGAACUAUGAUAUCAUGUCAAAGAAACAAUUUAAUUAAAAAAAAAAUGUUAAAUAAAGUUCCAAUAUAUGAUUUAUAUUAUUCUCUAAUAUAUUCGGACCAGCUUUUAUAUAGAAGUUAAUCUUUUUCCGAUAAGAUCUUAAACAUUAUCUUUCACAUUUGAAUUAUUGUAUUCAUGAAAAAUUUCAUUUUCAUAUUAUUUUGGAUUGGAACCGUGAAGAAUAACACAGAGAGUAAACCUGCAGGCUAAACAUAAAAAAAUUCAGGUACUUUUAUAUAUGUUUUACAACACUAACUUGUAAGAAAGUGGACUUGAAGAGCAUGCCAAAAAUAAAAAAUUGAAAAAACAGUACAUGUAUAUCAGAGACCAAGAAGUUUUAUUAGCAGAUCUCUCGGGCAAAAUAUAUUCUAUUUUGUGUUUCUUUUUGAUGUAUAGUGUUUUUACUAGUGUCAUUGUUCAGAUGUUGACAAGAUUGAACUAAAAUUAACUUACAUGUUGCGGAAAAAUUACUUAAUAUUUGCCACAAGAAUUUGCAGCAUGGAGAAAUAAAAGUUUACAUCACCUUUUUACCUUGGCAAACUUCACUUAAGCAUGGUCUCACAUCUGCAAUGAAACCUCUGUCUCUCAUUUCUCCAACAAGUAGCAACGCCCUUGAUUCAUCCUUAUGCUGGAGAAGUCCUCGAAUAAUAACAUUAUAAGAAAUUUCAUCUGGAGGGCAGCCAUCCGCUUCCAUAUUUCGGAAAGCUUCCAAUGCUUCAUCUAACAAUCCUUCUUUACAAAGUCCAUUUAUUAUUGUAGUGUAUAGCUGAACAUGAGGCUGCAGCCCUUGGACAAAGAGUUCUGAAAACAGUUUCCUAGCAUCUUUAUGAUUCCCAGAUUUGCACAUGGCAUGAACCAGGAUGGUAUACAUCACCAGAUUAGGCUUCAAGUAAGUACUUUGCAUUGCUCGAAACAGUCUGAAUGCCUUACCAAGAUACCCUUGUUUGCAAAAGCCAUCAAGCAAUAUUGAGUAAGUAAAUAAAUCUGGGAGGUUGCCAUUAGUGCACAUAUUCCUGAAAAGAUCUUGUGCUUCCCUGAGCUUGCCUAAUUGGCAAAAGCCAUGAAUAAGAGUGUUGUAACUAACAUUGUUCGGAGUUAAGCCUUGAUGAAUCAUUUCAUUAAAAAGCUGCAUGGCCUCGUCUAUCCUUUUGGCCUUACAAUAUCCAUUAAUUAAGAUGUUAUAACUAAAAAUAUUUGGUUUACAACCCUUGGUUAUCAUGACAUGAAACAGCUUUCUAGCUUCAACAACAUCCGUCCACAAGGAAUAUCCAUACAUCAACGAACUGUAAGUAACAACGUUAGGCUCCACACCCAUUUCAGUCAUUGUUUUUAACACACCUAGAGCCUCUGAAACCUUGCCUUCUUUACAAAAAGUAUCAACUAGCACGUUGAAGGUGACAAUAUCUGGCAUGAUAUUCAAACUCGUCAUUUCAUUUAGCAAAGCCGAAGCCUCCUUCCAUCGGCUGAAUUUACAUAAGCCCUGGAUCAAAGAGGUGUAAGUGAAAAUAUCUGGGGAAAUGCCUUUAGCCUUCAUAUAAGAGAAGAUAUCUAAAGCCUCAUUCACCAGCCUAUCUCUGCAAAGACUGUCAAUGAGUGUACUGUAUGUCACCAUGUUCGGCUGGCAGCCUGCCUCUUCCAUUUUCUUAAGCAAUCCAGCAGCCGCAGCAGUUUCCCCAAUCUUACAUAAGCCAUUGAUAAUCGUAUUAUAUGUGUAGACAUCAGGUUGACACCCUUUUGCCACCAUGUCAUCAAAUAAUUCCACGGCUUGGGCAAAUUCACCCACUUUACAGAGCCCAUUGAUUAAGGUGGUAAAUGUGACAAUAGUGGGUUGAAGACCAAGUUUAAUGACUUUGGCCAAGACAGAGAACCCAAGAUCAACACGUUGCAACUGGCAGAAGCAAUUCAUAAAGAUACUAAGCGUAUAAAUAUUAGGAGAGAGCCCAACUAAUUCCAUUUGUUUGGAAAGAGAAAUCACAACAUCGUAAUACUGUCCCAUUUUGACAAUUGCAGACAAUAAUUUGGCGAAUUGGAUAAUACAAGGCAGGGGUUUCCUAUGAAGCAUGUGAUUGAAAGAAGCAAGGGCAUCAUCAAUGUUUCUAAAAGAAGAAGAAGCGUCAUUUUUGUGUUGAUAUGUACUGCUACAGCUACUGCUAGAAGAAGAAAUGGAGUUGGAGUGGUUGAUAGACAACAUUGAUGAAGUGGUUGGAGAUGGAAGAAUCAUACCCGUCAUUUUCAUUUGGCAUCGCUGAAAAUGGGACCCAGUGAAAAAGGCUUCUGAACCUCCUCGUCUCACUGCCGCCGCCGCCAUCAUCGUCGACCUUCCUAGGUGUUUUUCCUUCUCCCUGUGGUCUGUUUUUUUAUUGACCCAAAUGACAGAGACACUUUGUAACAAAUCCGGAAGAUUGAAGAAAGGGAUUUGCGGAAGCAGGACCCCCCCUCUCUCUCUCUGACAAGGAAUGCAGAAGUUUGGGGAAGUAAAUUAGUUGGGAAUGAACGGUUUAGAAAGCAAAUCAUACACAUUUUUAAAAAAAAAACAACAAAAUUCAAUCCGUAUGGAAAAAAAUAAAUCAGAAUUAAUCCAGUUUAUGCGGUUAAACUAGCUAUUUGACUGACAUCAAUUAAUAAAAAGUAAAUUUAAAAAAUAAGCAUGAUUUUUAAUAAAUAUAAUAUUUUGAAGUGGAGAAAAAAAAAUUAAAUUUAUCAUAAUGAUAUAUAACCCAAGAGAAAAAAAUACAAAGCAUAAUUACUAAAAUUAAAAAUAAAAACUAAGAAAAAAAACAAGUUGUUAUAAAAUGAAAUUAAAAAAACUCAAAAAAUAGUUAAAAAAACAAAUCAACUAGAAAAACUAAUAAAAAAAACUCUUAUCACCGUAGAUUAAUUUGUUAAACCUAGUUUCUAAAUCAUGAAAUCAGUUAAAAUUCAUAAAAUAUAAAUGAAAAAAUAUUAUAAAAUUCUAUUUUCAACAAAUCUAAUAUUAAAUGUUGAAAUUGAGAAGAAAAAAAACUAAAUUCAUAAGAUUGAUAUAUAAUUUAAUUGAAAAAAUCAAAAAUAUUAUAAAAUUUAAUUUUUAAAACAAUUUUAUAUGAAAUAAUAAAAUUAAAAACAUUAAGAUUGAGUAAUUAAAAUGUAAAAUUAAGUAAAUUAAAAAAAAAACUCAUAAACGCCAUUCAGAUUAAUAUUAUUUUGAGUGUGGUUACAGUGAUUCAGCCGCAUGUUUAGUUUUUUUUUUUUGUUAUUUUUGUUAAUUUUACUGUAAAUAAUAUGAUAAUUCAUAAAUUAUUAAUUAAUAAUAUAUAUACAAAAUUAAAUAUUUAUAGCAAAUUAAAAAUAUUAGUGAUUUCACUAUACAUAUCAUUUCCCAUCUCAGUGCUUAUAUGUUUUAUUUUGCUUGGUAACUUUAUUGAAUGGUGAAAAAGGAGAAAACAAAAAGAAAAAGAAAGUGAUUCGUCGAACUUUUUUUUAAUUAAAACAUUAUCUAUUUAACCACGAGGCAAGCAUUAUAGGUUGAAAUAAUUCACCUUCUUUUAUCCUUUUAAUUGUUUUCUAAUUUAAUCAGUAAUUUGUUUAAUUCAUCUUUUAAUACUUUAUAAUUUUUAUUUAUUUAUUUUAUAUAUAAUUAUUAUGAUAUAAAAAAAAAUCCAACAUUAAAAUGAUUUUUAAUUUAGUCAAAAUAUAUUUACCGAUAUAAAUAUAAUUUGAUUUUAAAAAAAUUAAAAAUAAAUUUUUAUUAAUAAUAAAAUAAUGAAUGAACUCGGGCUUUAUGAAUUAUUUCAUCGUUCAUAGAACCUAGAUCAUGAACUUUUUAUUGUGUUUAUUCUUUGUAAAACAAAAUAUUACUUUUUAUUUAAUAAUAUAAUAACAAAAAUCAACAUUUGUUUCUGUAAAAUUAUAUUUGAGUACACAUGACAUGUAUUUGUUUAAAAAUAUAUUUGGAAUAAUUUAAUGUUUUUCCAAAUUUCGAUCCAAGCAUAUUAAAAUUAUCUUAAAAUAUCAAAAAAGACUAAUUUAAUAAUAUUACAAUUUAAAGCGCUUUACGAAAUACAGCCUCACUAGUCGCAACUGCAUCAAGGCCAUUCAUCCUCUUGAAUAAGAUUAUCUUGCUGAAAUUUAUCACGGAGCUCAGGGCCAUUUCAGCAAGAAAAUCCAAGGCAAUAAUGUGUUAAUCUCACCUGAUUGACUGUGACAAAACUCUAAUCAAGACUGCCUACAUGAGAUAAAUCACAAGCAACUCGCACCUUUUACAUCCACUUGGCUUCCAGCAACCUAAAAAGUAAUGGAGUCAUCCAUGGGUGCUUAUAGCACUAGUAAUGGCGUGGAGGAUUUUAAUUAAUAUCCCUUCAGGAUUGGAUCAUUUGCCUUCCAUAUUAGCUUUCUCCCAUUGGUAGUUGGCUGUUGGGUGAGAACAGGGGUCGAGCUAGUCAUCAUCUGGUUCUGUAGAGAAGUCUGGCUCUUCAGGUUUUUGCAACUUGAGCAUUUCAACAUUCUUGACUUUCUGUGCCCCUCUCCUUGUGUUUGCAGCAAAUCUUGAAGCUAGUAUUGUAACACCAAGGUGCUGUUUUGCUUGAGAAUUUGAAGGUGCAAAACUUGGUUCAUCCUCCUCUAGUGUUGUUUCAUCACAAACUGUUUGCUCAUCAACAGAAACUGAGAAGGACUCUGACAUGCUCAGGCUCUUUGCCAUCAUCCUCUUCUUGUGUCGACGCCAAGCAGCCUGAAUAAAGCAGGCAGCCCAGCUUCUCCAAUGGUAAGAGUAGAAACGGAAGGUAUGCUGUAGUUUCUUGCUAUGGAGACGUCUAAACUGAUUGGCAACGAACUUGAGGUCUUCUGCUCGCAAUGCAAAUGCUUCCACUUCUUCUAGUGCUCUCACUGUCCUUGUGGAAGAAGGUAAGUUGAGAGUAGAUUUUGGAAGCAAUGACCAGGCAAGCAGCUCUUCACCGCAGAAGUCACCAGGUCUCAAAGUAAUUGAAUUGAAGAAACCUGUUCGCCCUCCAUUUGUAGUUGAGCUCUCUAGCUUUCCCCUGAUAAUAAAAAGCAUCUCCGUAACCGGAUCACUUUCUCGAACUAUGUAGUUUCCUUGAGUACUCAAACAGGACACUAAGCGCUCACAUAUGGCAUCCAGUAGCUGAUCAUCCAUCUGCGAGAAAAAAGGAACCUACAAAUAGGAAAAACAUUAGCUAAAGCUGCAUGAGAUUUUAAAAUGCUUGAAAGUAACACUAGGGAGUCCCUUACUCGUCUAACAAGGUCCAAGCAUAGGUGACGCUGGAUGUCUCGACGAAGAUCCAUAGGUAAUGCACGCAGAAUUGAUUCUUCAUCAACCCCUCUAGUUGCAAGCCACUUGUAUUGAACAAAUCUUCUGACAUGUUCACGCAAACUUUGGGGCAGUUGACGAUGUCUCAUCCACUCUUCUGUGUCUCGUCGCUUGAGCCUCCACUCCUCAAGCCUCACAGUGAUAGAUUGCAUGUAGGUCUAUUCAAGAGAGAGUAUGUUAAAUACUGCAGAGUUUUGUAUCUCAGAAGAAAAUUAUCAUGAAAACUAUAAGGGAAAUACUCUCUUGAGAAUGAGAACACUUCCAAGUUUUUUCCAAGAAAACAGACUUCAAUAUUUUUGUAGCAGGGGAAGGUUUCUGUCACGACCCGAAUCCCGGGUCCAUGACCGGCAACGCAGGAGCGGUGCCGGAAGGACACCCCGCCCGCGCUAAGCCUCAAAACGGACAUAUCAAAAGAAUAAUUUAUUUCAAAAUACGCAGCAUUUCAUAAUCUUCAGAAAUCUUAUAUUACUCAAAACUGAUGAAACCAAAAAAUAGUUUAAAACUCCUCAUCAGUAAUUAAAACAAAAACAAUAAUCCAUAAUACUCAUUACAUUGUCAAAAUUCAGACUUAAAACAAGGUAAUAGUGGAGCGCCUAAGACAUCGAAUCAAACAACCUUGAAAGAUAAGCAAGGCAUACUGACCCAAAACUGAAGAAGCAGGAACACUCAACAAGGUUCACCUGCUAUCAGAAACUAAGAACCUGAAAUAAUAUUAAGAAUGAGGGGUGAGUUCAACCAACUCAGUGAGGGAAUAAUAAUUAAUAUACAUUUUAGAUAUUCUUGAUAUUUAUAGUUCGCAAGAUCAUUUAUCUUGAUAUACAUAUACAUAUACAUACUAAACUUAUCAUAUACAUAUCAUAUACAUAUCAUAUACAUACUAAACGUAUCAUCAUAACGUAGUGGACUAUAUGUCAGAGAUCAGAUGACACCCGAAGGUGACCAGAUGACACCCGAAGGUGACCAGACCAGAUGACACCCGAAGGUGACCACUGUGGGAUGAUCAGUCGCCACAGGCUGAUGCCUCUCUCACCAGCUAGGUAUACAUACAUAAUACUAUGUGCACACAGGCUAACUACUCUCCGUUAGCAUGGAGUUACUGACAAGUCCCAUAUCAAGGCAUAAUAGAUAUUCACAUAAUCAUCAAAGAAACGUAUAUCAUAUCAAAUAGGAUUUACUUUGACAGAUUGCGAGUGCAAAUUCAAGAAUAAAUGAGUACUCGGAAAAUAAGCAACAUAUAUAAUUAUUCAAGAAAUUAACGAGUUGUACUCAUUGUAUAAUCAACAUACAUAUUUACUUAUCAUAUAUGCAUAUUAAAGAUUAUUCCACUCACCCGGAAAAUAUAGAACUAAAAGGAAUGUCAGACGAAAGACCCGAAAAUCCUAUUGAGGAUCAUUAGGAGAACCUACAACAAUAUAUGAAAUAUACUCAAAAAUAACUCAAACAAAAGAUCCCAAUGCAUAAAAUAAAAUCAGCUUUAGUCUCCUACGUUUAUGGACUAAAACGACAAUUUUCCAAAACAGGGACCAAAACGUAAUUUUACCAAAACUGGACCAAUCUGGAAAAUACAUAACUAUACUGAAUUUUCACCCAUAAACCAUCCUUAAUUCUGUCUAGAACGAACCAUGGACCGAACUGUAAUUUUCAUAAAGUUCAGGGACUAAACUGUAAAUUUCCAAAAUUGAGGGACCAAACUGAAAAUAUUCCAAAUCAAUUGUCAAACUCAGAUUCAUCAUCCUUAACCUCAUAAUAACACUGUCCAGAAUCUCAAAAUACAAUUAGGGGUCAAAUUAUAAUUUUUCCCAAAGUUUAGGGACUAAACUGUAAUUUCACAAAUUGAGGGACCAAAUUGAAUUUUCGUCAUCUUCAACCUCAAACCCAGAAUUUCACAGAUUACCUACUGUCAUCACCUGAUUUCUAACACAAUUUCACCAUUCAAAUAAAAUCAUAACUCAAAAUCAUCAUCUUUACCUCCAAUCUCUCACAAUCAACUAAUUAACCAAUUACCCACAACAAUCAACCCAUAACCUUCCAAUUAAUUCAUCAAUCAAACUCAAAACACAAUAUUCAAAACCCUAACAUUUAUCAAAACAGAACUUAAAGCUUAAAGAACACACAUUUAUACAUAAUCUUACCUUUAAACUUAUUUUCCUCUACUUCUCUCCCUUUUCCCUUCUCUUCCCCUCUUUUCUCUUCUUCUUCUUCCUCCUCCCUUCUCUCUCACGGUUUGCUCCUUCCAUUUUCAGAUCCCUCUUUCUUUCUUCUUCUUUCUUUUAUUUAUAUUUAUCAACUAUUGUUCAAUUACCACAAUACCCCUCAUUUAAUUAUACUUACUUCUAAGCCUCCAAGGGCUUGGUUGCCCUUUCCUACUAAUUUAUUUGCAAAACAUCACAGUUUCAAUUGCAACAGAGGCCAAAAACAGCCUAAGGUUAUGUCAUGUGUCCACAUUACCUGCAUAUUCCCAAUCAAAUGAGCAAAUAAAACCAGGCCCAAGAUGGCAAUGAGUAUGGCAAAUGCAGUUUCCCCAAUGAAUGUGCUUGUAGACAAAGACUGGCCAUAGGAACUGAAAAAUACAAUAAGCAGAAAAGAUAUGUUAGAAGUUCCUAUAAAAACCUCUUUGAGUUAUGGAGACAAUUAGAUGGAAUCUAUGUAUCUGUGGAUAAUAAUACCACAGAAACUGCAUGCAGAAGAAAGAAAAUUUUCUCCUUCAACAUCAUGCAUCGAUUCAAACAGCUAGUGAAACUGAUAAAAUGCAAUCAGAUUCUAUCAUUAUCUUGAAUGAAUAUCUAUGGUGAAUUUCAAUGAAGUCAUGCCCCACCAUAAACAAUACAAGUACUUUUCAAGAAACUCAGAGGAAAGUACUUUCUGCUGCAAUGCAUUUGCGAAUAUGUCAUAAUCAAAAAAGGAAGUGUCGUCUGGAUUACAUCUGGCAAACAAAACAGUAGUGUUUUCCCAGGACUUGCGAUCAGGAAAUUCCAAAGUUUCGCAAUCCAAGUAACGGGGGUUGCAUGGUAUAGGGCUUAAUUCAUGUUUGCAAGCAGAUUUCCAGCAUGUUGCAUGACGCUCAAUCGACAGCAAAUACCAUGAUGCCCCCAACACCUACAAGAUCACAGGCCUAAUCAGUGUAAAGCCGCACUAAAUGACCGACACAACAGCAAUAGCUAUUGUUUUGUGAGAGCAGCAAGUAGUAUAGCCUAUAAAUGCAAGUAUUUUCUGAUUCAAGGAGGCAUUACGUACAUGACUAGCCAGCAUGUAUAGCAGGAGAUUAUACGCAGCCCCUGCCCAGGCAGUCUUUGUAACUACUCCAGUGGCUUUAAUGAUCUCAGAACUUAAUGGAAAAAUCAAAUACAAUCUGGGAAUUUAUUGGAGCAGAACAAUCAGUACUAGGGCAUUAUUGGUAUGAUCAGCACGCGAGCUUCUAAUUGUUGGUAUAAUAAACCAUAUCACAAUCUGCCAAAGGGAACAAUUUGAUGUCAUUUCUUCUUUAGCUUCAAAGGACAGAUUGCAAUAACGAAAAGGCACUAAAAAUCAAAGAAAUAUGAAAACUUUCAUUUGCAAGUAAUGGGUGCUUAAAAAAUCAAAUACACUGCCAUAUGUGUCAUAUUUCAAUCCAAAAGAGCAGGCACAAUCGCAUAUUCUUAGUCACAAAGUUAAGAAUCAAACUCGAGACCUUUCCCCCUCUCUGCAGAGGUGAACGCCACUGGGCGAAACGCGGAUUUGUAACUUCAGCUCAACCUCAAGAAGUGAAAGAAAUUCCUGGAAUUUUGUGGCAAAAGGGAAGCUGAAAAUUGCAGUAGCAACUUCAACCUCAUCAACUAAAUGAAAAUUUCAAGUUCGUUCUCAUUUUUUACAAGUAGCUGUGAUUUCUAUGCAAAAAAGAAAAAAAAAUGAAAUCACAGGCUAAAAUUCUACAUUCAAAUCAAAUAAACAAAAGCAGAAACGAAGAUAGGAAUGUAUGUACCUGAGGAAGAGGUAAUGCUGCAACAAGAUCUAUGAAGAAAUCUGAUCUCAAAUAUCUCUUUGCGAUCAACUUAGGAUCCAUAACAAGUUCACCUCUCCCAAAAACUCUUUAACUAGGUGAGACAUAAGCUGUCCUAAACUUUAUUACAAUAUGAUCUAUGUAAAAUACAUCAGCAACUGUUCUAAAACAUGUCACAGUAAUUCCUAAAUUCAAAUCAGUAUCCAUACAAGAUGACUUUUCCUUGUUGGUUACUGAUGGAAGGUA
rnacentral:lncRNA from 1 species